ACACGACUACAUUAGAUACCCCCGUAGUCCUAGCCGUAAACGAUACUCGCUAGGUGUCGGCCACGGUGCGACCGUUGUCGGUGCCGUAGGGAAGCCGUGAAGCGAGCCACCUGGGAAGUACGGCCGCAAGGCUGAAACUUAAAGGAACUGGCGGGGGAGUACCACAAGAGGUGGAGGCUGCGGUUCAAUUGGACUCAACGCCGGAAAACUCAUCGGGAGCGACAGCAGUAUGAUUGCCAGGUUGAUGACCUUGCUUGACAAGCUG
rnacentral:rRNA from 1 species